GACCAGGUGGUUAUGGCACAGGUGCCCCACCCGAUCCCAUUCCGAACUCGGCCGUGAAAGCCUGUAGCGCCGAUGGUACUUCGUCUUAAGGCGCGGGAGAGUAGGUCGUCGCCUGGUCU
rnacentral:rRNA from 2 species